UCUUUGUUAGUAUAUCGGUCAGUACACGCGCCUGUCAUGCGCGAAAGCUGGGUUCGACUCCCAGACAGAGAG
rnacentral:tRNA from 1 species